rnacentral:tRNA from 1 species
GUCCCCUUCGUCUAGCGGCCUAGGACGCUGCCCUCUCACGGCAGUAACAGGGGUUCGAAUCCCCUAGGGGACA